rnacentral:lncRNA from 1 species
UAAUUGUUUGGUUUAAUAGAUAAUUUUUACAUUUUUGGUUUAAUAGAUAAUAAUCCAUGUAAAAUAUGCGAUAAAGAAACAAAAAGAGAAUUGUACAAUGAAAAUGUCAUCGCACAAACUAAAUAUUGUCUAAUAAAUACUUGAAAAACAUAAAUAAAAAUUUAGCACAAAUUACUUUUCCCACUUCAAAAUUUAGGCAAAUUUAUGCAUUCUACGAAACUAGUUUUCAUGAUAUAACCGUCAAACUUGUUUGUAGAUACUACAAGAUUGCAUACGUAAAAAAUCGUAAAAAAAAAACAUUCAGAGAUUACGUAACGGAACAAAAAAUUUCGACGGUUAAAAACGAAAAAUCACAAUUUAACGGUUAUUUUAGCUCCGAUUUUGAUGAUUUUUUACAGCUAUACUCCUCGACCCUAUAAGAAUGUAAUGAAUAAAUUCGAUCUUUAAUUUAAAAUAUUUACACUAGUGGAUACCACAAAAUCUUAUUUUAUACUUAAUUGAAGUAUAAUAUUAACUCAAGUGUUCGUUUAAUUUACCGUUUUGACACAACAUGCAUUCUACGAAACUUUUUUCAACGAUCCAACCGUCAAACUUAUUUGUACACACUCCAAGAUUGCAUACGUAAAAAAUCGUAAAAAAAAACAUUCAGAGAUUACGUAACGGAACAAAAACUUUCGACGGUUAUAAACGAAAAAUCACAAUUUAACGAUUAUUUUAGCUUCGAUUUUGAUGAUUUUUUACAGCUAUACUCCUCGACCCUAUAAGAAUGUAAUGAAUAAAUUCAAUCUUUAAUUUAAAAUAUUUACACUAGUGGAUACCACAAAAUCUUAUUGUAUACUUAAUAAAAGUAUAAUAUUAACUCUAAGUGUUUGUUUAAUAUAGCGUUUUGACCCAAUAUGCAUUCUACGAAACUUUUUUCAACGAUCCAACCGUCCAACUUAUUUGUACACACUCCAAGAUUGCUUACGUAAAAAAUCGUAAAAAAAAAAACAUUCAGAGGUUAGGUAACGGAACAAAAGUUUUCGACGGUUAUAACAGAAAAAUCAUAAUUUAACGAUUAUUUUAGCUCUGAUUAUGAUGAUUAUUUACAGCGACACUCCUCAACCAUAUAAGAAUGUAAUGAAUAAAUUUGAUCUUCAAUUUAAAAUAUUUACACUAGUGGAUACCACAAAAUCUUAUUUUAUACUUAGUUGAAGUAUAAUAUUAACUCAAGUGUUUGUUUAAUCUACCGUUUUGACACAACAUGCAUUCUACGAAACUUUUUUCAACGAUCCAACCGUCAAACUUAUUUGUACACACUCCGAGAUUGCAUACGUAAAAAAUCGUAAAAAGCAAAUAUUCAGAGAUUACGUAACAGAACAAAAAAUUUCGACGGUUAUAAAUGAAAGAUCACAAUUUAACGGUUAUUUUAGCUCUGAUUUUGAUGAUUUUUUACAGCUACACUCCUCGACCCUAUAAGAAUGUAAUGAAUAAAUUCAAUCUUUAAUUUAAAAUAUUUACACUAGUGGAUUCCACAAAAUCUUAUUUUAUACUUAAUAGAAGUAUAAUAUUAACUCUAAGUGUUUGUUUAAUCUACUGUGUUGACGUAAUAUGCAUUCUACGAAACUUUUUUCAACAAUCCAACCGUCAAACGUAUUUGUACACACUCCGAGAUUGCUUAUGUAAAAAAAUCGUCAAAAACAAACAUUCAAAGAUUAGGUAACGGAACAAAAGUUUUCAACGGUUAUAAAAGAAAAAUCAUAAUUUAACGGUUAUUUUAGCUCCGAUUUUGAUGAUUUUUUACAGCUACACUCCUCAACCCUAUAAAAAUGUAAUGAAUAAAUUUGAUCUUCAAUUUAAAAUAUUUACACUAGUGGAUACCACAAAAUCUUAUUUUAUACUUAAUAGAAGUAUAAUAUUAACUCUAAGUGUUUUUUAAUCUACAGUUUUAAUGUAAUAUGCAUUAUAUGAAACUUUUUUCAACGAUCCAACUGUCAAACUUAUUUUUACACACUCCGAGAUUUUAAAAUAAUAAAAUAGUCAAUUUAUGUCGGUUAUA